AUUGAACGCUGGCGGCAUGCCUUACACAUGCAAGUCGAACGGCAGCGCGGGAGCAAUCCUGGCGGCGAGUGGCGAACGGGUGAGUAAUACAUCGGAACGUUCCCAAUCGUGGGGGAUAACGCAGCGAAAGCUGUGCUAAUACCGCAUACGAUCUACGGAUGAAAGCAGGGGAUCGCAAGACCUUGCGCGGAUGGAGCGUCCGAUGGCAGAUUAGGUAGUUGGUGAGGUAAAGGCUCACCAAGCCUUCGAUCUGUAGCUGGUCUGAGAGGACGACAAGCCACACUGGGACUGAGACACGGCCCAGACUCCUACGGGAGGCAGCAGUGGGGAAUUUUGGACAAUGGGCGAAAGCCUGAUCCAGCCAUGCCGCGUGCAGGAUGAAGGCCUUCGGGUUGUAAACUGCUUUUGUACGGAACGAAACGGUCUUUUCUAAUAAAGAAGGCUAAUGACGGUACCGUAAGAAUAAGCACCGGCUAACUACGUG
rnacentral:rRNA from 1 species